rnacentral:lncRNA from 1 species
UUUUUCUUUUUUUUGUGAACAAAACAUCUGAUGCUGUCAAUAAAGGAAAAUAUGACAAUAUACGAUGCGCUCAGAAGUACCUUGCCUAAAUGAGCACCUUCAAUCAGACCAGGCAAAUCAGCUAAUGUUGCUCCUGAGGAAUACUUAAGUGCUUCUAAAGUAGGGUCUCCAUCAAGGCGACCAAGGUUUGGCAUUAAAGUUGCGAAAGGGUAGUCAGCAAUAUCUGGUUUUGCAAGCGUAAUAGCUGCCAAAACAGUUGACUUUCCAGCAUUUGGGAGUCCCUGAAGGGAGCAAAUAAGAUUCCCUUCAGCAAAAUGUUCCUUUAUUUAGUACAAAUAAGCUAUACAUGAGCAAGCACUUCACUAAAUUCAGUGCAACAAGGAUCGAGUUGAUAAGGUAGCUCUCUAGAACCUACAUAUCAAUUACAGAGUUCCAAUUGCCAAAUAAACUGCUGAUAUGCUCUCUUUUUUUUAAUAUAAUAAGCACUAUUUGUUCUGAUGUCUCUUGGGCCUUGGCAAUGUAACGGUUGUUUCUUUAUAUUAAUUGAAACCUGGUGCAUUUUGAUCAUGUUUUAUAAGGACUUAUGACAAUAAUAUGAGCACUGGUCUUGCUGAAUAAUGAAAGCACAAGUUGGCAUGGGUCACCUCCUUUGCACCUCUUCAUAAAAGCAUCCUUACGUAAAAUAAAAACUGGUGAAGUAUUAAUAGAGCAAAUUAAAGUGGCUUCAGCAAUGGUGAUGGAUGAGUAAGGGUAGACUUACCUGAUUCAAGAAUCCAGGAGGGUUUAGAUAAUCUCAGUAGGUCUAGAACUCUAGAUACACUACAAAUGGCAAACAUAACCAAAGUGAUAGAAUUAGUAGUUACUUGGGAAAAUAUGAGCAUUGUUACUGCAGCAAAGGGACAGAUAUAUGAUUAUACUCAUGUUCUCAAUUUAAUUGGUGUUUCCAUCACUAGUGCCAAAUCACUAAAAUAUCCAUGAUAGUUAAAGUCAAUGUUGGCCCCUUGGAUGUUUUUAUAUGAAUAUCUGGGUUCAAGUUAAAUCAUUAACACAUUAUUGAUCAUAUUAAGCUCCAAAAGAGCAUUAUACAAAAUUAAAUCGUGCUAAAAAUAUCUCUAGCAAGAAUAGUAUGCUCAAACCAAUCAAAAGGCUUUGGGAUCUCAUGAUCAGCCUAGGAAGGGAUGCAAAGAACCAACAUCAGGAUCACUCUAGUAAAUGAGCUUGUAUAAUAGAAACAGUUCCAGUAGAAACCCUGAUCAUAUUAAUAGUUGCAGUAUUUCAUCUGUGUUGACAAGAUUCCACCUACAAAGCUUGGAGCGACACCGAAAUAUACAUGAGCAUAAUAAAAGUAAUAGAAGAAACUGAAUACACCAAGGAAGCAAGAAUGAUGCUCAACCUCACUACUGCAAGAAUUGGGAGCUAAGGACACAGUAAGGCACGUAUACACCUUACAGCAAAAUGACUGACAGGGUCUAAACAAGCAUUAAGCACUUAGCAGGCCAAUAAUUUCCAAGUGAAAUAGCAAAACAUACAAAAAGUGAAUAUAGUAUCAAAUCUCUUAAUAUAAAUAGGCCUUGCUGAUGUUCAAACACUCUCAGGGAAGACACUGUAGUUCUGGUCAGCCAAGUGUGAAAGCGCAAUAUAAACCAAGAGAACAAGGCUUUGUAAGUUAAACACCGAAACGAAUUUACAGAUACCAAGAUGCUGUCAGCAAUCUCGAACAGUCACCAAAUGCCAGAACAGAGUGUAAGAGGCAGAUAACCCAUAAACAGAAAAUAAAUGGAAGAAACGGUUCAGAAAAAGGUCCUCAAAGAAUGGCCAAAAAUAAAUCCUUGAAAAAGGGUCCUACAAGAAAUAAACGAAAACCUCAGACAGAUCUUGAAUCAAAUCCUAAUCAAAUUACAUGAGUUCUCUAAUUCUGAUUUAAAUUUCUAAUUAGCUAACAAUCUAUNNNNNNNNNNNNNNNNNNNNNNNNNNNNNNNNNNNNNNNNNNNNNNNNNNNNNNNNNNNNNNNNNNNNNNNNNNNNNNNNNAAAAAAGGAAAAAAAAAGGAAAAACCUGCAUAAAGUUAGAAAGGCUCAAGAAUAGAAACAAAUUGGUAAAAAAAAAGAGUAAUUCAUUUGGAAAAAUUUAGUACUGAAAAAGUAUAUGAAGAUAUUUCAAAACCUUCUUUUGCAUAGAAAAAGUGAAUUAAAUUAUCUGACAUUUUGAGGUUCUAUUGUAAGGAAAACACAGAAAAAGCUUGUUUGCAACCACUGACUAGGUUAGCAGAAAGAGCUUUAAAAAGCUCUCAAAGUCUACCAACUACAAUGAUGCCAAUGUAAUUUGAGACUAGCAAUGCUCAUGCAAAAUAGUCCUCCAACAACAAAAACAAAAGGAAAAUGAUGAAAUUAUCCAGCUGAAAAGUCCUUUGGAUUUGUCAAUCCAGGGCAAGUGUGGUGUUCCCCAAACUGCUCAUUGGAGUCUUUUGAAGAGGUCUACUACCAUGCAUUCUUGCAUACAAGAGUGGGAAAAAAGCAUAAACAGCAUCUACUUGCGAUGGUGACAAUACAGUAAAUGAUAUGAGAGUUUGGUUUCCAUUGUGAUAAAUACAAAAUUAUAUGUGCAGCCAAUGUAGAAAUGGAGUCCACUGCUAACAAAAAUAAUGCGACAGAAGAUCAUUCGCUUCUGUUUCUCUUUCUUUUUCAGAUAUUGCAAGCAUUAGAAAAAACACUCAAGAGCAAGAACUUCCUUUGUUGUCAAUCUUGUAAAUGGUUCUUGCAUUUCUUUCACAGUAGCCAGACAUUUUUCUGAAAAAUAUAAAAGUACCUUGCAAGGAAGAAACAAUGCAAUUCGUCACCACCUUCACACAUUUAGAAGGUACUUUUGAUACCACCUUAUAAAUGCUAGGCAUUACACAGCUUACUGGCUUAUUUCAAUCAUGCGACCUUUUAUGACCUUUCCAAAUAAAAGCAAUAUAUCUUGAAACUCUUGAGAUUUCAUGGUUAUGUUUAUUAUUAUUCCAUCAUACAUGUCGUACAACAUGAGCAUUAGGCCUUCUCCUAGUUAUUCUGGGAUAGCUCUAUGAAUCUCAUUGACCAAGGGUGCCAUUUAGGUCUAGCCAUGAUGCUAUUUCAAGAUUCCCGAUAUCCCUUCUCACAACUUCCACCCGCGUACAUACUUAAAGUAGUUCUUCCACUUCCUCUUCUACAACUUUCAACAAUAACUAUCUCUCCUUAUCGGAGCCCCCUUGUAUCUGAUGUAGCACAACUACAGGAAAAGAGGAGAAGGAGGAAGAACAAGGGAGGGAGAAGGAAGAAGAGGUUAUAGAGACGCAGGAAGAAGAGAAGGGGAGAAGGAAGAAGAAGAAGAACAAGAAGGAGGCUAGGGUUUUUUCAUUCAAUCAUCAAUUGCCUCAUACAUGAGAGGGGUGGUCUUUAUAUAGACCUUACAUCUUGACCAAAUCAAGUAAUCAAUUGAUCAAAUCAAUCAAUUAACACCGAUUAAAUUUGGACCCUUAUAUCAACUAAUUCCUUACCAAAAUUGGUCCACUAAAUUAACCCAAUUACAUAAACCCAAUUGACUAGUCUAAUAACAAAACAACUGACCAAAUUGACUUGAUUAAGACAAAAGCAAAUAAUGCAAUAAAAGAAAAUGACUCAGACUCAAAUGGACCCAAUCCGAGUCUGACUCAAUCCGGAGGCUCAGGAUCAUCUAGAUGAAGGGCUCUGAUAUCCCUAUCAACUCCUUCCGGAUGAGAAAAACUCGACUUCGUCGAGUACAGGUCUGGCCGGCUGUCGUACUGCUCUAGAAAAUCGGGGUCAAGGCGCUGCAACUGGGCUCUGAAAAUCCACGUCACUUCAGACUUUGGUCGACCUUUCCACCGAACAAGGUAACAUUGGUAACCACCAUUCCUGGUUAAAAUAACCUGCUCAUCCAAUAUAUGUUCUAUUUGUUCUCUGCGUGCAUGAAAUUUGAGAGGUGGUGGCUCAAUAGCAGGUAAUAGUUCAGGAUGUUCAAUAUGGGCAGGUAUAUCAAUAAAGGGGUUAGAAGGCAUGAAUGUUGUCUUUUUGUAUGGGACUAUAUCUUCAAUAUUAAAUCUCGCACUAAUCCCAUAGUCAUCAGGAAGAUCCACAACAUAUGUAUUCGAAUUUCGAACUAAUUUUUUUUAAGACUUUGAACGGUUCCGCACUACAAGCUUAUAAUUUCUUGAACGUUUCCGAAGAAAGUCGUUCAAAUCUAAUUCUUAUCAUGACGUAACCUAUUUUACUUAACUCUUUAUAACGUCUGUGUAAUUCAACAAGGGAUUUAUAUUUUAAGUUAUUAAAAUGACUACAAUUGCUGAUUUCUUGAUACAAUGAAUAUGGAUGUGAUGCAAAUGAUUGUGCAGACUUAAAGACUCUAUACUGAUGAGACAUAAAAAAUAGGUCUAUGGGUCGCCUAGGUUUGUAAUCAUGCACCACUUCGAAUGGACUCAUGCCUAUGGACUUGUUAACCAAACUAUUAUAUGCAAACUCAACUGUCGGUCACAUUAAAUUCCAGAUCCUAGCAUAUGCAUUCGGUCUGAGCCUAUGAUAUGGAAGGUUGGGCAGAGAUGCUUCGGAAACUAGAUCAAUUGCACGUUGGAUAUCACGCAUUGGAGAAAGUGCAUUCGGAAGAUCAUUAGGGACUACAUCAUGAAACUCCUCUAGAAGAGAAACUACUACAGGGGAACGUUCACGGUUGGACGCCGCAUGGGUAUCUUUAGCUACAAAUGCCAACUCAGGUGACUAGCUCUCAAUAUCUUUCACUACCUCUUCCACAGUAGUGAUGUGAAGUGGCUUAGCUGUACUUAGAUCAAUAGUCUCCCCUUAGGAAUCAUUUUGGACAAAGUCUAAUUCUGUGGGUUCGUCUUCAAAGUCUUCUUCAUAGUCUUCUAUAUUUGGUUCAUAGACUUCUUCGACAUAUUCGACCUCUUGGCUCCUAACUUCUAGUUCAGUAAUCAUGUAGGUCUUAAUGGAAUAUUGGGAUGCUAUGUGGCCGAAUUGUUGACACCUAGAGCAUUGAGUUUGGUGCCUAGGAAAAUGGGGAAGGAUUACAGGUGAUGUGACCAAACCAAUUUUAGGUUCGGCUGCAAUAGAGGUUGGCGGUUUAGGGAUCCUAGAAUUUCACAUGAGCUCACGGAUCUCUUGUUUGAAUUCCUCGUGUCCAGCCCGCAUGGCAUCGAGCUGUUCUAUGAGAGAUCUAUAAACGUCGGAAUUCAUGGUAGCUACAAAGGUUUUAAGUUGAUUAAAAUAGUACUCCCUAUCACUACGGGUUGGCAUGCAAUGACGACACUAGGUGAUGAUGUGAAAUGCAGUGUCACUACUGAGACCCUAAUAAAUAUGAUGUGAAAUGCAGGACAACCUACUAAUGCAAUCUAUUAUGAUCCAGAGAUCAGCAAGUUUUCACAAAAAUAACUUAAAAUUUAAAUGUUGCUGAUUUUUACUUCGGUUAUUCGAAAUUAAGGAUUAAGAUUAUUCAAUUUAAGAAAUUAAAUUGCAAUCAAGUAGUACAGUUGUUCUGAUCCUAAAUCAAUCUGAUCAAAGAAUGUUAAGAAACAUCCAGUUGCUAGGGUGUGCUAAUUUAAUAUCUAGAUUUUAAAAGGGCAAAUAGGAUGGGUUUGAAAGUAGGGGUUCUAUGUUCUGAAUUUUGACAGCAAAAGUAAGUUUGAAGAAUAUGGCUAUCAUGCAAGAGAACUAGAACAUAAUUAAAUGAACAAGCCCAAGAAAAGUGGAAACCUUAUUAUCCGUCGUGAAGUAGACGACCAGAAUGUGUGCUCGUGGGCUGGGGCGACGAUCGGUGCGCGAUUGCAGCUGAUGGACACUUUCAAUUGGCUUCAAUUGACUUCAACUUGGAUUUGAUCACAGCACCUUGGCGAGUCUGCUGGGCUUGUAAAAUGACAGGGAGUGGACCUGUUCGAGUUUGUGGGAUGGGAUCAGGCCUCUGUAGUGAGGGCCUGCUGGCUUGGGCCCGUAAGGUGGCAGUGGGGUGGCCUGAAACUUGGGCUUAAAAGGGGCCUGUCUGGGGUCGAUGGAGGGGUGCUCGAGUGAGCUGCAGUGGCCGAAGAAGAAAAAGGAUGAGGGGAAAGAGGGGCGGCGGAAGGUGACGGGUUCGGGAUGGGGACGGCCGGCGGCGGAGCAGACGAAGCGGCAGGCGGGUGGCGGCGGAGCUGCGGCGACGACGGAGGCAGAGCUCAAGGGAAGGAGGGGUUGGGCAGCGCGGUGGAGGCGGACACGGAAGAUAGAAGGGGAUGGUGGCUUCGGCCGGUGGAGCAGAAGCGGCGAAGGGUGGGCGGCGCGCGGCGGCAGCACGGGUGAAGCAGCACUCAAGGGCGGCGGUGCGGCGUGCGGNNNNNNNNNNNNNNNNNNNNNNNNNNNNNNNNNNNNNNNNNNNNNNNNNNNNNNNNNNNNNNNNNNNNNNNNNNNNNNNNNNNNNNNNNNNNNNNNNNNNNNNNNNNNNNNAUUUCUUUUCCAACCCAAAGUAGAGAGUAUGGUACUUAACAAAUUUUCCUGUAUAUCCUCACUCUCAUCUAGAAUAAGGGCCAAUAAGAACAUUUUGUGGAUGAUCAUCGCUGACAAUAGAGAAAAAUGUACCGAACAUUCCAUUUAUGAGAUCAUUACAUUCAAGAUCCAACAUCACAACACAUGACCUGUAUCUUGCAAGCAUCUCUAAGAUAACAACCCUCCUUCCAAAUGAUGCACUGUUAAUGUCACCUAAUCCACUAAAUGUAGUAACCAUCAAAUGAAAUAUGUCCCUUAGAACAUCAUCACUGUAAGGAGCUUCUGGAGCAGUUAUUCGGGUGAUUUCACAAUUGCAGGUGGCUACCAGAACCUUGACUUCCCUGUCUUGAUGUUUCAGCAAUUCUUGUUUAGCUCUUUUUUUGUACGCUCGUGCGGUCACGUGCGGAGCUUUUUGGACCCGGGUCUCGGGUUAUCGGGUUCGGGUUAACGGGUUUUGUGACUUACCCGUUAAUCCUUUCUUCAACCUCCCUUUGGCUACGAGAGGGCGUGGCAAUAUUCGCGGUGGCAGCUGCGAGCGGGCAGAGGGCGCGGCAGCGGCUGCGGGCUUGUGGCGACCGGCAGUGACCGACGGCGACCGACCGUGGGGCUCCACGGCGGCGGUCUCCUCUGCGGACAUGAUGCAGGCGGCCGGUCUCAGGCUUCCGCGGGCAGCAACAAGGCGCCCAAUGGUGGCGGAGCGCUCGGGGCGCGCGGCGACACUUCGGAGGAGGCGGCGCUCGGCCUGGCAGUGGCGCGAUGCAGCGGCGAUGGAGUGUGGGAGUGGUGGCCGCAGGCUUGGCGGCCGGUGGGAGGGGCCCGACGAACAAGGGUUUUCCCUUUGCUGCUUUACUGGUGAGCACCGAGAGAGAGAGAGGAGGGGUGGUGGGCCAUGGGAAGUUGAGGGAGAAGCGGUGUCGAGGAGGCGGAGGCGGUGGGGUGAAUGAAUAGGGAUGGUGGACCGUGGGAGGUUGAGGGAGAAGAGGUUGGAUCGUGGCUUUGGCAACAGGGGCAAAGCCGGAGCUCUGAUACCAAGCUGAUGUAGCACAACUGCAAGGAAAGAGGAGGAGGAAGAACAAGGGAGGGAGAAGGAAGAAGAGGUUAUAGAGACGCAGGAAGAAGAGAAGGGGAGGAGGAAGAAGAACAAGAACAAGAAAGAGGCUAGGAUUUUUUCAUUCAAUCAUCAAUUGCCUCAUACAUGAGAGGGGUGGUCUUUAUAUAGACCUUACAUCUUGACCAAAUCAAGUAAUCAAUUGACACAGAUUAAAUUUGAACCCUUACAUCAACUAAUACCUUAUCAAAAUUGGUCCACUAAAUUAACCCAAUUACAUAAACCCAAUUGACAAGUCUAAUAACAAAACAACUGACCAAAUUGACUUGACUAAGACAAAAGCAAAUAAUACAGUAAAAGAAAAUGACUCGGACUCAAAUGGACCUAAUCCGAUUCUGACUCAAUCCGGGGGCUUAGGAUUGAGUCAGACUAGAUGAAGGGCUCUGAUGUCCCCAUCAGUAUCUUAAUUCUACGUACCUAAAACAUUUAAAUUGAUUCCCCAUCACUUUGUCCUUAAUUUGUGCAACUUUUAGAGCUCCCCUGACAAUAUAUAUAUAUAUAUCGAAUUUGGGUCCAUUUCAUACUUUUCAAGUAACAAUUAUCGAGAAAACACCACAUGAGUAACUAAACCACCAUUGUCCUGCAUAAUAUUUUAAUAGUUCUUACCUAAAAUCUGUCAUAUAUGCCUUUCAAUAUCUUCCCUAGUAUCCCCACACAAAGUCUUCAAUAUCUAUCGAGCUAUCAAAGCUCUUCAUGCAAUAAAGUUUGAAUAGAUCAUAUAGCUAUAGAAAGAAGAAAAACCAUGUUAUGAAAUUGAUCAGAGAAAACAAAGUUAAUCGAUUAGCUACAGAAACUAGCAGAAGGACAAACAGA